rnacentral:rRNA from 1 species
GUCUGGGGCCAUACCACCUAAAAUGCACUCAUCUGAUCUUGGAAGCUAAGCAAGGUCAGGCCUGGUUAGUACUUGGAUGGGAGAAGCAGCACAGGAAGAAGGUUCAUCUUCCAGCUACAAGGGCUUCAGUGC